rnacentral:lncRNA from 1 species
UCUGAGGUUCAUGGGACAUAUCUUUGGCACCAAGGAACCACUCUUGGGGAAAACAAAAGUUUAAGAAAAAAAGUUAAAAGUCCAAGAUUAAAAACAAAGUCAUCACAAUUAUUAAUAUAGAUAGGAAAGUCCUCAAUAAUCACCAGCAAACUAAACCUACCAAAGAAUGAGAAGGAUUAUACAUCAUGGCCAAGAGGGAUUUAUCUCAGGAAUAAGAUUGGUUCAAUACAUGAAAAUCAAUUGAUGUAAUAUGCUGAAUUAAGAGAAAAAAAGGUUAAAAUGCAUGAUUAUUGUAACAGAUAUAAAGAAAACAUUUGAAAAAAAUUCAGUGCUUGGGAAGGGGAGAAGGGGAGAUAUAGAUCGGUGGUGCCUGGUAUGCACAAGGCCCUAGUUCCAUUCCCAACACUGCAAAGAAAAAAUUUAAAAAGUUCCUCAACAAAUUUUUUAGAAAACCCCCUGACAAAGGGCAUCUAUGAGAAACCCACUGCUAACAUCAUACCCAAUAGUAGGGGCUGAAAGCUUUCCCUCUUAAGUCAGGAAUAAGACAAGGCUGACUGUUCUCACCACUUCUAUGCAACAGUAUACUGCAAGUUCCAGGCUGGCAAAUUGGGCAAUAAAAAGACAGAAAAUGCAUCCAAAUUGGAAAAAGUAAAACUCUCUUUUUUUGCAGGUGAUAGCUUGUAUAUAGAAAAUCCUAAGGAAAACAAACACCCC